rnacentral:rRNA from 1 species
CGCGUGGACAACCUGCCGCAUGCAGGGGGAUACCGGCUGGAAACAGCCGCUAAUACCGCAUAUGCGCACGGCGCCGCAUGGCGCAGUGCGGAAAGGGAGCAAUCCCGGCAUGCGAUGGGUCCGCGUCCGAUUAGCUUGUUGGCGGGGCAGCGGCCCACCAAGGCGACGAUGUCUAGGGGUUCUGAGAGGAAGGUCCCCCACACUGGUACUGAGACACGGACCAGACUCCUACGGGAGGCAGCAG